CCACGCUGUCAUUGCUCCUGCACCUGCGCCGCCGACGGGAAGGGCACAGAAGAACCGAAAACCGGCGAGUUGACUCCCACCCACGAAGAAACAGCGCUGGCAGGGUACGAACGCCUGCAUCUUUCUAUUUUCCUUAUAUUUCAGCCGGAUUUAGAAUAGAUUGAGCACUUUUUUUUUGUUUCUUCUCCGGCGCCGGCGCCGGCGAUGUAUGUAUGACGAGGAGGCUGUGGAGUAGGCUCCGUCCAUGUGGGCCUACGAUUCGUCGAACCGCUGGUGUACCCGACCCAUUAUCGGAGUAACGCCUCUCCUCCCCUUCAACUGGGUGGCGUCGUAAUGACCAUGUGCAAAGCUGAAACUGCCAACGCCCUAAUGAUGGUGUUAUCUACUCUCGAUAAAUAUGUGGAGCGAGAAAUCUUCUUUCCCUUCGACCUCCCAUAGUUUAUCAGAGAUGCUGCUUGCUUAGGGGAUUGCUCACAGCAACUGGGUAACCUUAAUUUGCGACUAUGGCUGCUGGACUGGUGCACUAAUCAUUUCGC